GCGCAGUGGUAUUGUUUACCACAAAGGCACAUCGGAAACCAGCACCAUCUUAGAGUUGGCUUCCUACAAGCAAAGACCUUCCAGAAGUCUCUUGGGAAGUUAACUAAAGGGUAAAGGUUCCAGGAAAGUGGGAUAUUCAUGACUUACAGUAACAAAGAAACUUCCAUGGUGUUCACAAGUCAAAGAUUCCAUUUACUGUUAAGAUUGGCACAUGAGAGACUUGGUAACAGACUGGAUCUUCCACUGGGCCUAGCAUUGCUGUGGGGCUACACAGGGAACGCUAAUGAGUGACUGCUGCCCAGAGUCAUCUUUCAGGGACUAAAGAGCUCAUUUCCAGCUCUCUGAGAGAGGAUGAUUAGUCCGGACCUAUCCGUGGUCUAAACUGGACUCCAGGAUUCUCAAAAUGGAAGAAUUUUAAGAUUCAGAACAAAGAAAUUUGAUCUCAUUAAUCACUUCCACCUGAAUGUUUUUAAUGAUAAAAGUACUCAAAAGGCACCUCAAAUUCUAUUAUCCUCAUCACAUAUUGACUGGUAAAGUUGUUAUCUGUCACUAUUUCUUCUGAGAAAUGAAGUUGUUGCACUAAGCAGGUACUGAGACUUGAUUUGCGGGGGGUGGGGGGGGAUGGAAAGUUAUAGGAACAAUUAAAAGUAACUUGCAUGCAAAGUGAAUCUCUGCUAAAGGCUCUGAAGCUGUUCAUACCACCAAUACCCACAUGUGACCGGGGGCCUCUCACAUACAGCUAUACCCCCCCCCACACACACACACACACUAGAUGUUAUGAAGAAAUAAAGUUUCUGCAACGAGAUGUAGGAGGCAGUCGAGGAUUCCAACCAAAGCACUGACGGGAAAGAGUUCUGAGUACUUAAAAGAAGCUCAUACCAAGUCAAUGAAGACCCUGGCCGAAAGCAGUCUGCCCUCAUUGGACGAAGCAAAAGAAGCCUCUAAAUGGCAUGAGAGCUUUCAGUUAGCACUCUCCUUUAUUUACCCAGGCACAAAGAACAUUCAUGAGAACAAAUCUUCAUGUGUCAGUUCAAACAUCACUGUAGACAAGCCCUCUACAAACUAUGUGGAAGUCAGCCCCAUCUCCCAUAAGAGUUCUUACUGAUGGUUAGAUAUUCCCAUACAUUCCUAUUCUAUAUGUAACUCAAUCCAUCAGAAAUCAACCAUUCUGCAGAUAGAUUCCAAGUGAUCCCUACAGCUGCUGCUAUCACUUUAGACUUCUGGCCCCAUUUCCUGUUCAUUGGUUGCAGAUUUGCUUAUUUCAGAUAACUGAGCUGGUCAGAGAGGAAAUUUUAAUAUAUAAUUGUGCUAAAGCCCCUGCACUAGUUAGAGUUGAAAACAAACACUAUAGAGAUUUGGUGACAAAGAGCCGGUCAUGACGUAGGAGCUACACUUGAUAAUCUUGGCUUUCAGAAACAACCUUCCCAACACAAUGAAAAAAGUGCUAUGUCAGAAUACUGGCAGGGAGACUUACAUCACAGAGUCUGUAAGUUAGGUUAGCAUUUCACUGUGAGCCUGCCUUCCACUGUUACUAGCUAGGUCUUGAAGCUAUACCUGUAAAGGCGUCAUCAUAAACUGCUUAGAACAUAAAGAGAAAAAAAAAAAAAACGGAGGAAGGAAAACUUGUUCCUUAAAAAAGCUGUGAAAUAUAGUACAGCAUGAAGAUUGCAGGAAAUGACUGAGUUUCUCUCUUUCUUAAAUCAAUUAGGCAGGUGCCGAGUCUGAGAGCUUAUCAGAGCUUGCUCUUCAAAGUGUGAAUGCAUGAUUCUGGGCCUUCAGGCGUGCCUCGCACCACAUCAUUUUACACUUUCAGAAACAGAGAUCUGCUGGCUGAGGCCCCUUGCUUGGCUUUUUUUUUUUUUUUUUUUUUUUGCAAACACCCGGGGCCAGGUUUUCUAAUCAGCAGGGUACAUAUGCCAUGGCAGCUGGAGCCCCUGAGCAGCAAGGAGACCUCAUUUGUCCCAGCUGCUGCUAACCAUGGCACCAAAUCAAUAUCCUGUCAGAAGGUGCUUUCCUGGCAGCAACUGCAAUUGCUAACACUCCAGUGACUCUGUGACGUCGCCAGGUGUUUGCACAGCAGAGGAAAAUCCCUCUUUGCACCACUAGCUCUGACCUCACCGCAGAACAGGGCACUCACCUAUCUUUAAUCACCCAUGAAAUGCUGCAGAGGAGAAGCAAGGGGUGCUGAGGACAGGCUGGGAUGAAGCAGCCCCGGGGGUGACCAAAUGUGACUCAUCUCCCUUCACAUUUCAAGAAAAGCUGGAUCAAGGUUGGCUUGCUUCCAAGGGAUACAGAAGACAGAGAAUACCUUUCCUGUUCCCAGUAGACGAAGACUGAGCAAUGCUUAAAGAAAAAUGGCCAAUAUCAAUAAAUCAUUGGGACCCGUGGCUGACAUAGUUUUCAGCUAUCUCAGUUACUGGGCAGUUGUCAAAAUAGAGCUCUAAAAGGCCCUAUGUGGACAGAGCCUCCACUGUUACUGAAAGGGCAAGUUAGCCCUGGACAGCAUCCAGAAGGCACCUCUCCAUCCCUGUCCUGUCCUCAAGCAUAAAUGCUGUGACAGACACAAGUGGCGACAGUGAGAACCAUGGCAAUAAUCACCAUAACCAGUUUUUAUAUCAGGUACAUUGUACGUACUGCGCUUUCAGCAAGCCAACUGCCCACAAAGUCCUCACACAGAACUGUCUGAAGCAGGCUCAAGGUCACAGACACAGUGGUGGAACUGGACACAACCCAAGAGCUGCCAUUUACCUACAGAACACUGGCAUCUCUCAGAAGCAGGCUUUGGGGGUGUAAGUUCACAAGCUGAUCUGAUCACCCAAGUUCUCAAACCACAAUGCUCUGACUUUGCAAUUACUGACCAUUGAAGGCCACUUUUAAACAGCUUCGCAAACAAGAGUGAGGAGACCCAGUACAAAGCACUAGCCCAAGACUCUGGCUGUGGGCGUCAGCGAUGCUGAAAUUAAAAGGCAGCUGCGGUUCCUGCUGUGGGGACCAUUUCAGUCAUUUGGCUGAGGUUCUUGAAAUAGGCCCUGGGACUCAGAACUCCACAGAGCAUCUGUGAUGGUGCAAGGGACCCAGGGGAUUUAGGCUGCACAGCUUCCACAGGGAGGCAACACUCUCCUCCCCUCCCCGCAGUUUCCAGCAACACAAAGAACACAGAAGCAUGGCAACCCUGGGUGAAACCUUGAAGCAGGGUUGGAGGACCUAGGUUUUAAAAAGGUCUAUGCAUCACUUACCAGAGACAUUCUCUUUUGCCACAAUUCACUUCCUUACUGCUGCCUCAAAGCAUUACUGUUCCUCCCCUGAAGGGGAUGGACACCACACAUUAUACAGAAAAUGGUGCUUGCUUCUAUAAGGCAGAAUAAAAUAGUUUCUUAGUAGUGUGUCUUUUCAACUCUUCCCACUCAACCCAUCUUUUUCUCUCUUGAUGCUCACAAGAGAUUUAAGAAAUCAAAAGAAAAGAUGUUCCUAGAAUGACUGACACAUUGAGAGGAAGACGAAUUAGUAGAGCUGGAUUAAAUGCUAGAGGGCUGAGAGAAGCAUAGACCCUUACAGUUAGUAACAACAACAACAACAACAACAGCCGCAACAACAACAACAACAGCAGCAGCAGCAGCAGCAACAACAACAGCAACAGCAGCAGCAACAACAGCAACAGCAGCAGCAAACUCUCUUGGUUUUGGACAGCCCUCUUCACAGGUUUCCCAAGGCGGGGCGUAGAACACACUGACUUCCCAAGGUCUCUGGCCUCUAUGAUCCAGAUUCACUGAGAUCAAUAAAAUAUUCCUUAUGCCUGGGCCUGC